CUACGGGGGGCUCCAGUGAGGAAUAUUGCACAGUGGGAGGAACCCUGAUGCAGCAACGCCGCGUGGAGGAUGACGCAUUUCGGUGUGUAAACUCCUUUUAUAUGUCAAGAAAAUGACGGUAGCAUAUGAAUAAGCACCGGCUAACUCCGUGCCAGCAGCCGCGGUAAUACGGAGGGUGCAAGCGUUACUCGGAAUCACUGGGCGUAAAGGACGCGUAGGCGGGUUGGAAAGUCAGGUGUGAAAUCCUACAGCUUAACUGUAGAACUGCACUUGAAACUUCUAAUCUAGAGUAUGGGAGGGGGAGAUGGAAUUAGUGGUGUAGGGGUAAAAUCCGUAGAUAUCACUAGGAAUACCUAAAGCGAAGGCGAUCUCCUGGAACAUUACUGACGCUAAGGCGUGAAAGCGUGGGGAGCAAACAGGAUUAGAUACCCGCGUUGUC
rnacentral:rRNA from 1 species